AGUGAACGCUGGCGGCGUGCUUAACACAUGCAAGUCGAACGAGAACGGGUUAUAGCUUGCUAUAAUUGUCAGCUAAGUGGCGCACGGGUGAGUAAUGUAUAGGUAAUAUGCCUCUUACUAAGGGAUAACAAAUGGAAACGUUUGCUAAUACCUUAUACUCCUUAUUAACAGAAGUUAAUCAGGGAAAGAUUUAUUGGUAAGAGAUUAGCCUGUAUUGUAUCAGUUAGUUGGUGGGGUAAUGGCUUACCAAGACUAUGACACAUAACUGGUUUGAGAGGAUGAUCAGUCACACUGGAACUGAGACACGGUCCAGACUCCUACGGGAGGCAGCAGUGGGGAAUACUGCACAAUGGACGAAAGUCUGAUGCAGCAACGCCGCGUGGAGGAUGACACAUUUCGGUGCGUAAACUCCUUUUAUAUGAGAAGACAAUGACGGUAUUAUAUGAAUAAGCACCGGCUAACUCCGUGCCAGCCGCCGCAGUAA
rnacentral:rRNA from 1 species